rnacentral:rRNA from 1 species
UACGUAGGGCGCAAGCGUUAUCCGGAAUUAUUGGGCGUAAAGAGCUCGUAGGCGGUUUGUCGCGUCUGCCGUGAAAGUCCGGGGCUCAACUCCGGAUCUGCGGUGGGUACGGGCAGACUAGAGUGAUGUAGGGGAGACUGGAAUUCCUGGUGUAGCGGUGAAAUGCGCAGAUAUCAGGAAGAACACCCGUGGCGAAGGCGGCUCUCUGGGGACGGUACUGACGCUGAGACGCGAAAAGCGUGGGGAGCGAACAGG